CAGUAGCCGCGGGAAUACGGAGGAUCCAAGCGUUAUCCGGAAUCAUUGGGUUUAAAGGGUCCGUAGGCGGUCUUGUAAGUCAGUGGUGAAAGCCCAUCGCUCAACGGUGGAACGGCCAUUGAUACUGCAGGACUUGAAUUAUUGGGAAGUAACUAGAAUAUGUAGUGUAGCGGUGAAAUGCUUAGAGAUUACAUGGAAUACCAAUUGCGAAGGCAGGUUACUACCAAUUGAUUGACGCUGAUGGACGAAAGCGUGGGUAGCGAACAGGAUUAGAGACCCCCGUAGUCCCUGUCUCUUAUAC
rnacentral:rRNA from 1 species